rnacentral:miRNA from 1 species
CCCAGUUAAAUUUGAAUGUAAGAUAAACAGUGAAUUUUGUUUUAGUAUAAGUAUGUUCCGUGCAAUAUUUGGGAAAUACUUAUACUAAAAACAUUGCUGUUCAUCUGAAGUUCAAAUUUAA